rfam:Physcomitrella patens mitochondrial DNA, complete genome.
ACGAGCCACAUGCGGGGAAAUUCGCACGUGUGGUUCUGACCGGGGGGAAAAAGCGCCCUAUCGGUAU